rnacentral:rRNA from 1 species
AUGCCUAAUACAUGCAAGUCGAUCGGAUGUAGCAAUACAUUAGAGGCGAACGGGUGAGUAACACGUAUCCAAUCUGCCUUAUAGUGGGGGAUAACUAGUCGAAAGAUUAGCUAAUACCGCAUAACAAGUUAACUAUCGCAUGAGAAUAACUUUAAAGAAGCAACUGCUUCGCUAUAAGAUGAGGGUGCGGCAUAUCAGCUAGUUGGUGAGGGUAAUGGCCCACCAAGGCGAUGACGUGUAGUUAUGCUGAGAGGUAGAAUAACCACAAUGGGACUGAGACACGGCCCAUACUCCUACGGGAGGCAGCAGUAGGGAAUUUUUCACAAUGGACGAAAGUCUGAUGGAGCAAUGCCGCGUGAACGAUGAAGGUCUUUUUAGAUUGUAAAGUUCUUUUAUUUGGGAAGAACAGUUAGUAGAGUGGAAAGCUAUUAAUUUGACUGUACCAUUUGAAUAAGUAACGACUAACUAUGUGCCAGCAGUCGCGGUAAUACAUAGGUUGCAAGCGUUAUCCGGAUUUAUUGGUAAAACAAGCGCAGGCGGAUUAGAAAGUCUGGUGUUAAAAGCAAUUGCUUAACGAUUGUAUGCAUUGGAAACUUCUAGUCUAGAGUUUGGUAGAGAGUCCUGGAACUCCAUGUGGAGCGGUGAAAUGCGUAGAUAUAUGGAAGAACACCAGAGGCGAAGGCGAGGACUUGGGCCAAUACUGACGCUUAGGCUUGAAAGUGUGGGGAGCAAAUAGGAUUAGAUACCCUAGUAGUCCACACUGUAAACGAUGGAUGUUAAGUGUCGGAGCGAAUACUUCGGUGCUGCAGUUAACACAUUAAACAUCCUGAAGAGUAGUACAUUCGCAAGAAUGAAACUCAAACGGAAUUGACGGGGACCCGCACAAGUGGUGGAGCAUGUUGCUUAAUUCGACGGUACACGAAAAACCUUACCUAGACUUGACAUCUUGGGCGAAGCUAUAGAAAUAUAGUGGAGGUCAACCCAAUGACAGGUGGUGCAUGGUUGUCGUCAGCUCGUGUCGUGAGAUGUUGGGUUAAGU